ACGGCAGCGGGGAGCUUGCUCCUGCCGGCGAGUGGCGAACGGUGAGUAAUGCAUCGGAACGUGUCCUGCCGUGGGGAUAACUGGCCGAAAGGUCAGCUAAUACCGCAUGCGACCCACGGGUGAAAGGAGGGGAUCGAAAGACCUUCCGCGGCAGGGGCGGCCGAUGCCUGAUUAGCUGGUUGGCGGGGUAAGAGCCCACCAAGGCGACGAUCAGUAGCUGGUCUGAGAGGACGACCAGCCACAUUGGGACUGAGACACGGCCCAGACUCCUACGGGAGGCAGCAGUGGGGAAUUUUGGACAAUGGGGGCAACCCUGAUCCAGCCAUGCCGCGUGCGGGAAGAAGGCCUUCGGGUUGUAAACCGCUUUUGCCGGGGACGAAAAGCGAUGUGCCAGUACCACGUCGCGCUGACGGUACCCGGAGAAUAAGCACCGGCUAACUACGUGCCAGCAGCCGCGGUAAUACGUAGGGUGCGAGCGUUAAUCGGAAUUACUGGGCGUAAAGCGUGCGCAGGCGGCUGUGCAAGACAGAUGUGAAAUCCCCGGGCCCAACCUGGGAACUGCAUUUGUGACUGCACGGCUCGAGUGUGUCAGAGGAGGGCGGAAUUCCGCGUGUAGCAGUGAAAUGCGUAGAUAUGCGGAAGAACACCGAUGGCGAAGGCAGCCCUCUGGGGCACAACUGACGCUCAUGCACGAAAGCACGGGGAGCAAACAGGAUUAGAUACCCUGGUAGUCCGUGCCCUAAACGAUGUCAACUGAUUGUCUGGGAAGCGAUUCCUGGGUAACCAAGCCAACGCGUGAAGUUGACCGCCUGGGAAGUACGGUCGCAAGAUUAAAACUCAAAGGAAUUGACGGGGACCCGCACAAGCGGUGGAUGAUGUGGAUUAAUUCGACGCAACGCGAAAAACCUUACCUAGCCUUGACAUGUCGGGAAUCCUGGUGAAAGCCGGGAUUCCCGCAAAGA
rnacentral:rRNA from 1 species